UACGAAGGGGGCUAGCGUUACUCGGAUUGACUGGGCGUAAAGGGCGCGUAGGCGGCUUGUACAGUCAGACGUGAAAUUCCUGGGCUCAACCUGGGGGCUGCGUUUGAUACGUAUGGGCUUGAGUUCGGAAGAGGGCCGUGGAAUUCCCAGUGUAGAGGUGAAAUUCGUAGAUAUUGGGAAGAACACCGGUGGCGAAGGCGGCGACCUGGUCCGAUACUGACGCUGAGGCGCGAAAGCGUGGGGAGCAAACAGG
rnacentral:rRNA from 1 species